GGGGCUCUGAUUUCAGGAAACGUGGUCGCGCGGGUCGCUGACCGAGAUGUCUGGGUGCGACAAAGAUUGCGCCCAGAUAAACAAGUCAGACUCGCACUCGGUAGUGAGUGAUGGGCGACAAAAGGCAAGGCCAACACAAAGGGGCAUUUUUGUUAUCGAAAAGCCCUUGAAGCAACUAAAGCUAAAGAACAUGAGGUUAGCUAAAAAUCAUCUGGCUUGCUCAGAAGGUCUGUUUGGGUGUUUCGUGUUCGCAGGGCAGCACCUGUUGUACUGUUCUGCCUGUAGCCGUUUACCCUCACACCUCCAUUUUCAAAAACAUUUUCCUGGCAUGGAGAAUUUGUUGGUGAUUUGGCUGGCUAGAGCAUCUACCAGAUAUCAGGAACAAGGGAAAGGAAGGCACCAAAGUUAAAGCUAAGAGUUCCAGUCUGAAUAUCUACUUUUCUGGAUUCUGGAAAAUUACAGUAUAAACAGGUGUGUUAUAUAUAAUGAAACAUAUAGGGGAGAGUAUGUGGGGAAUUAGGUUAGGGGACUGGAUGAUGAGUGAUGGUUGUACCAUACCUUUAAGUACAGUUUUUUUUUUACUGCAUUAAUAUAUCACAAUGAAUUAUGACUGUUGGCAGAUAUUUUAGAAAUCUCGAAAUAGAUUCAGCUUAGCUUCUAGUGCCCUCCCCAAUAUGGCACAACGAUACCUGUUCAGCCUUAUCUCUCACGUUUCCUUUGUUUAAGCAAUCUGGUCAAAACAGGAUUAAAAAUCUUCCUCAACUUACAAUGGAGUUAUAUCCUGAUAAACCCAUCAUAAAUUGAAAACAUUGGUAAGUCAAAAAUGUGUUUAAUACGCCUAACCUACUGAAAAUCAUAGCUUAGUCUAACCGAUCGUAAACGUGCUCAGAGCACUUACAUUAGCCUACAGUUGGGCAAGAUCAUCGAAGACAAAGCCUAUUUUAUAAUAAGGUGUUGAAUAUCUCAUGUAGUUUAUUGAAUACUGUACUGAAAGUGAAAAACAGAAUGGUUGGAGGGCUACAGAAUGGUUUUAUGUGUGUGGGUUGUUUACCCUCGUGAUUGCAUCAUUGUUUACCCAGGCAGCUCGCUGCGCUGCCCAGCCUCACAAGAGAGGAUCGGACAGCAUAUCGCUAGACCGGGAAAAGAUUAAAAUUCCAAGUACAGUUUCUACUGAAUGCAUAUCGUUUUCGCACCAUUGUAAAUUCAAAAUAUCCUAAGUCAAAUCAUCGUAAGUCAGGGACCCUCUGUACUUAUCCUCCCUAAGACCUGAAUUUACAUGUCGGUGCUUCUUUGUGUUAACCCACGCUAUUCUAUGUCUUCAUUUUCCUAAAUUCUACCUUUCAUUCAAGGUUCAGGGGCAGCUCUUUCAUGAAGUUGUCCUUGAUCACAUCCCUCUGUCUUGUAAAAGAGCAUCCUCACCUUUUAACUCUGAUGGCAUCCGUUAGCUAAUAUGGGCCAUGUAGCUAAUAUGCAGUCAUAUUACAUGAGUACAAAUCUUACCUGUUCUGCUAAAUCUCUUGUUCCCUGCAUAUUCCUAACCUACUCCCUUGGGCAGACCUGCUUGCUUGUCUGUAUUUGGCCCUUGAGUCUAACCUUGGGCAGGGACGGUUUCAUCUUCAUCAUGCAGCCCCAGGCCUAGCAUAUGUUGUAUGCAUAUGUGCUCAAUCAAUACCUGUUUAUCUAAUGGAUGGGUGGAUUUAUUACAUACUGAAUGAAUUCAUCUAAAACAGGUUGAUUAGCUUAUCUUAGCCUCCUUUGUUAAAAGUCAAAGAAAUGCUGGCAUAGAGAUUUGCAAGGAAGAAGAAUUUUUGCUUAAUUAUGAUAACUAAUUAUCUAAAAAAUAUUUGGCUAAUAUUUUAGUGAGACUCCUAUUAAGAUUCUAGAUGUUCAAAUUACUAUCAACAACCUUUAAAAUUAACAGUGUCUAUUGUAUUUUAUGGAAAUGCCAACCAACUAUCCAGAAUCCUCAUUGGAUUACAUUCUCAUUGAAUAAAAAAUGUGGAAUAUGAAUGCUCAGUGGUUCUUAGCAAUCAAGGAGCCAUGUAGCGCUCCAGUGUAAUGUUUCAACCUUUCCCCAAAACCGUAUUGAGUCUUGGCCAGACAUAUUAGCAUGAGCUGACCGACAAAAGAUGUAGGUUCUAGGAAAGUAAGAAUAGAAAUGAUUCCAGCUAGCAUUAACCCUAUAAGUGUGUUAGUUAUCAUCUGUGUGGUAUGUUAAAGCACUGGCAAGUAGUGAACUACUUUGAAUGAUUACAUUAAGUAAUAUAGGACACAAAAAAACUUUCCAAUACUGUUAAGUCAAGAGGAAAAUUGGAAUGGUGUCUAAUCUAACAUAUGUAUAUACUUUUUCUCCUCCUUCCACUGUAAUCAAAUCAAUCAAUCUCUUUUUCCAUAUAUAUAUACACACAUGUAUAUAUAUACACACACAUAUAUGCAUGUGUAUAUGUAUGUAUAUGCAUUUCUUUCUCUCAAGCAAACACUCACUCAUUUCUUCUCUGUUCCUGCCCCGUCUGGCUUCUGAAAGUCUGAAGAAGUCAGAGCUCUACAGAAAGUCAAUAAAAAUGGUUGUAUUCAAUAUGCGAGGUUCAAGUUACCCUUAAAUUUGGAACUCCUAAUCAACUCUAUAUUUAAUUAAUUACUUAUUUGUAUUAUACAGGGUGAUUCAAAAAGAAUUGCACCUUGGCCACCCAGAUCCUCAGAUGUCUCACUUUGCAACUUCCUUCAGACAGAAUACCUCCGGAACCUCACAUCUGUACUGCACCUUCAUUUUUUUUCAACCUUCAAAAAAUGAAGAAUCUUGUCCUGGCUGCCAUUUCAGUUGUCAAAGGUGACAUUUUACAAAGGGUCAAGGGUGAUUGAUGCGUGCCCUAGGAACAUGAAAGGUGCAUACUGAACAUUUAUUAAAUUAUGGAGAGGGCUUCUUUACAAUGAAAGUUGUCAAAUUAUGGCCCGUGCUCUAAAUCCAUCCUGCCCACUGUUUUUGUAAAUAAAGUUUUAUUGGAACACAGCUAUGCACAUUCCCUUAUGUAUUGUGUACAGCUGCUUAUACUACAACAGAGUUGAAUAUUGCAGCAGAGACUAUCUCACCUGCAAAACCUAAAAUAUUUAGUCUCCGGCCCUUUGCAGAGUAAGUGUGCAGACCCAUCUUUACAAACUGACCUUUUCUACAUGCUCCUAUAAACCCCAGUUACUGGUUAAUGCAUUUCCAAAAGUUGCACUUCUUUUGGAAUCACCCUGUACUUGAACAAUUUCUAUUACAAAAGUCUUAACAAUUAUACCAUAAAAUCGUUGAGAAUAUUUUUGUAUACCCUGCAGAUCCUACAUAGAACAGCAGUGGGUGCAUACUAAGCCUGUUAUAAAUAUUUGUUGAUAGAUUGAUUAAAUUGAGCAUUUAUUAAAAGAAUCAUGAAUCUCAUAAGAAAAAAUUAGCUCUCAGUUUUCCUUGAGUGUAUCUCAUUUUCCACCUAUUUUACUUUUCCUACAUAUCUCUCAGAAUGUUCGAGUCCUAAUAUAUUUAAAUACUAGGUCUGUGUACUAGAGAAGGAUGAAGAAAAAUAAAAAUAUAAAAUACAGGCAAUACCAGCUAUAAAACACACAGCUCACAAAUCUUUUUAUCCCUAGGACCAAAAGAAAAGAGAGAAGAGAAAAGCACCCCAGUUUAUUAUGUCCCAUUUUAAAAAGUAAUAGACUUUUAUUAAGACCUACAAUUAUGAUAGGUAUGGUAUGGGUUAAGAGGCUGGACGAGUAAGACCCCUGGUCUGAGAAGCCUAAAAUCCUAUAGGUGAUAUUAAUAACAUGUUUGUAAUAUUUUAAGGUUUCCAAGCUCUUUCCACAUUCACUGAUCAUUUUAUCCUUACAGUGACAUGUGAACCGGGUUGUCCCAACGUCUCACUUAUCUUUGUCACCUCAUAUUGUUGCUUUACUUGGACAAGAUGGAAAAACAUGUGAUUUAAAACUGUCUUGAUUACAGAUGUAAAAACUUGUCUUCUGAUUCCUAGUUCCCUAUUUUAAGCUAUCCAACCUAGUCUUAAGGUAGGUAACUUUUAAGGAAUGCCCUAGAAAUUGUGCCUUUUUUCAGGCUAAGAGAAUCUGGUAACAUUUUGCCUUAUUUUAUAUUAGUUAUUAAUGGGACAAGCUCAAUUCAGGACUUAUAAAGGCCACAAUAAAUCUGUAUAUCUCCUUUACGCUCUGUACUUUAGGCAAUAUACUGUGACAAUUCACUAAAGGCUGUACUAUUUGAGGAUGAGUUAGAAACACUGAUAUAGGACAAAGUGUUGUGCCCUUCAAGGCUCCUUGAUCUGUUUACAUUGAUAUUAAUAGAUGGUUCUGGGCUUCAGUCACAGGCCUGAAUAAUUCAGGUCAUACUGACCUGCUGCACUUUUUAAAAACUAUAAAAUAUUCUGGGAAAUAUUUUAGAUCGGUGAUACCUGCAAGUUAUUGAAAAAGUUCAAAAGUCCACAGAAAAUUAAGAAACUGUCUGAACUACAGUGGUGUAGAAAUAAUUAUAGUCAAUAUAAUAAAUCAACUUGUUCUUAAAUUGUCCCAUUUGGAUUAGUGUCCAAAGGGAAUGUUUUAUUAUUAACAGCAUAUGGCAGAUAAUUAGAAAAUACUACUGAUUUUCUAUAUUUAUUGUUUUUUGAGAUGGGUAAACUAAUAAUUUUAUUGUGGGCCAAACUCAUCAAAACAAUUGGUUCCAUAUGUUUUUGUAAUUAAUAUUAAUUAAUUGCAUAACUAUUAUGCAAUUGUAUAGUAUUAGAAAGUAGCUAUUUGAGAAUAUAAUGAAUGUCCAAUGGUAUUUUAUAGCUUGAGCUUCCUACUGUAAAGAGGUUAACCUUUUUAGCAUGAACUGCAUGCUCUGUGCCUGUUCCUGACUCUGUAUCCUACAGUAAAAGGAGUAAAACAGCAGAGAUAGAUUAGAUUGUACUCUACUGCCUCUGGAAUUCUUUGAAAGUCUAUUUCAGAGUCUUUCCAGCAGCCUUACCUUACUGACAUUUAGAUGGAAAAUGAAAAGAACCUAAAAACCUGCACACUUGCUAAAGACAACUAGAGAUUUCCAUUUUACAGAGCCUUGUUUAUCCUUUUGUUUCUGCUUUUUUUUUUUUAAAUCUAAAUGCAUUUAUUAAACAUUUUUUGGGCACAUUGCCAAAUCGGAUGCUACUGUAUAUAAAGAAACUGUGUGGAGUGUGGUAACACCAUCUGGCACUGUGAAUACAUUUUGGAAUGCUUGUGGAAAUUUCAAAGAAAAAUGUAGGAAAUUUUGUGUAUAAUUUUCUUAAACUUAUUUCCAUGAGAUCCAUGAUUUAGGAAACACAUUCUACAGGUUUUCCACAGACAUUUGGAUGAUUUUUUUUUUAUACCCAGAUAGUGCUUUAUGAAAAAGCAUAAUGCUUGGUUCUUACCUUUUAAUGACUCAUUAAUUCUGUGUAAAAUAGAGCUGUUAAUAGUAGAUUUUAAAAAUAUGCCAUGUAAAAAAAUCUUUAGAGGAUUUGUGAACUUCAUAUUAAUUCUUCCCCAAUCUUAAUAAGGUAGCAAACCAAAGUGCCUCUCAGUUUGAAGUUAGAGAAACUGAAGUACAGCCACAAUGUAUGUUUGUGACAUUCUAGAUACAAUCAAGAAAAGAAGUAGAGUGCUACUACACGUGUUUAUGACAUCUGUCUGUCUGCUAAGCUAGGAGUUGUUACAACUCACAGGAUUGAGCAAAAAGGCACCUCAAACGUGAAAUACAUCGCUCUGUUUAUUCCUGCAUCUGUAAAUACCAGUUUGUUAGUUCAUCAACAUUGGAGGAGUCAAGCCAAUUCAGAUUUUAAUUCGGUAGGCUGAAGGCACUGUUUUAGUUUGCAACCUGAGAACUCUCACUGUCACAAUUUUAAGUGACCUAAUUGAUAUGAUGUUGACCUAGGAGCAAUACCAAGGUGAAACUAAAAUCAUUACCAGCAAUUAUCUAUUAUAUUUAAAAUUAAGUACCUGAGAAACAAAGGUUUCCAAAAUAUGAUUAAAACAAGAUUAUAUCUAUGUGGAUGCUACCAACAUAUUAAUACACCUCCCAACUCAGAGACAUAAAGCCUGUGUUCUAUAAAGAUGUUUAAUUAUUUCAAAUUCAAGUCUUUGUAUAACCAACAAUCAUGGACUAUUUUUCAAGGGCAGUGGUAAGUAAAAUAUGGAAUUUAUUGGCUGAUGGUGCUGUUCAAGUGCCCUUCUACAUAAUAUGUUUCGUGUGUUCUGUUUCAAAGCCAUUUUGAUAAUGAAUCAACAGAUGUUACAUGAAAAAAUUGUUCUAAGGAUUCCUGCUAGCUUUCUCUCAGCCAUUCAUGUUUAAUUUGGGAAGGAAAUUUGAAGAAGUAAAUUAAUACCUAUUCUACCUGUUUUUAAAAGUUUAUGGUAAUAGAAGAGUCAGACAUAAUGAAUAUUUCUCAAAGUCAAGUGUUCUAUGAAAGGCAGUUUAGAUUGGAAGAGGUAGAAAUAUUCACAAUGAUAGUAUAUUAUAUUACAAGUAAAUACUUUAUGAGAAUUAGUGGAUAUAGUCAGAUAUAGGUAAAGAAAAACAAAAGAGAGUCAAAUAAUUUGGAGAAUAUUUGAUCUACUUAAAAGUUAUACCUCCAACACUAAAUUAAUACACAAAAAUGCGAAGUAAUCAAUUUUAAAUUGAAGAAUAAUUUCAGAUCUAGUUCAUGGGAAAUGAUUGCCUCUGCCUCAUGCAUGCAGGAGUAGAUAAGCUGCUCUGUUAUCUCAGCUCCACUUAUAAUCAUCAAUUUUUCAUUCAACUGAACAGUUGAUGAUCAAGAACUUAAGACAGUUCAGCUGAUGGGAUACCAAUCAUUGUGAUUUCGGCUGUAAAUAUUGUGAAGAAUUAGGUGCAACAAAAAUUCAAGCAAAUGUGGGCUGGCCCAGCGGCGUAGUGGUUAAGUUCAACCUGCUCCGCUUUGGCGGUCUGGGUUCGCAGGUUUGGAUCCCAGGCAUGGACCUACAUCACCCAUCAAACCGUGCUGUGGCAGCAUCCCACAUACAAAAUAGAGGAAGAUGGACACAGAUGUUAGCUCACGGCCACUCUUCCUCAAUCUCCCCCUCCCCCCCAAAUCAAGUAAAUGUGAAUUUUGGCCCUCAAUUUUACGUUUCAAAGACUUAGUAAAGUGUCAAAUACCAAGAAUAUACCAUUGGAAGAUGCUAUUUAGCUGUACACUAUCCCAUAGAAGCAGGUAAAUUGACCCAACUCUAGCACUUGCUUCCAUGCCCAGUUCCAGUUUCUGUUAUCUUCUUCUGGUUGUUCAUAGGUGUAAUUUGACAACACUCUACCUGAAUAGGUUAGCCAUAAUUGUGAGGGGAUUAAAACACAGACUCUGGAGCCAGACUGCCUGGCUGGGUUAGCCUCCUCACUCUUGCUCUGUGAGUUGGGCUCAACAGAUCACUUCUCUGUGCCUCAGUUUCCUACCUAUAUAAAGUUGAUGAUGAUAGUACCUAUCUCAUGGAGCAGUUGAGAAGAUGAAAUGAAUUAAUACACUUAAAGCUUUAAUUAGAGUGCCUGGUCCAUGGUGUAUGCUUAAUGGCUAUUACCUAUUGAGGCUUUUGGUGGUUAUUAUUGCUAUUAAAUUUCCAGGCAUUAGGUCCUUUCUUGAGAAUGAAGAUACUGUAUUUGAAAUUGAAGGAAAUUGGUAUGUAAGAACAUGAGUCCUACCAAGUGAUAAGAAAAAAAUCUAAGACAGAAGAUGAGAAAGCUUUGAAAUCAGAGGAAUGUUACCAAUCAACAUAGGGAAAUAUGAAUAGAAAUGCUUAGUUUAAUAGAAAGGAAAGGAAGAAGAAAUAUUUUAUUUUUGCAGCAAAUCAAAACACUGUUGGAUGCUUGUUAAGAGGAAAUGGAGGCCAUAUGGAGAAAACAAUUCCAUUACACAGUGUGGAAUGGAUUUAAAGGACAGCUGAAUAGCUAGGGCAUGAAUUAUGUAGGCCUUUAGCCAUAUAAUGUCAUAGAUUAACAAAGCAAACAGCAGGGGGCAUUGUGGUAGUUAAUGAGAGGUGGAAAGAGUUGUCAGGCUUCAAUGAUCAGUUUUUAUGAUGCGGUUUUCCUCAUUAAGGAAGUAUACUGAUAACAUUAUUUUGGUUCUUUCCAAUCAUUGCAUGCAUUAGGACCUUAAUAUUCUAAAUCUUUUCAUUUUAUUUAUUUUAUCUCUAUAGUUCUUAUAUUCAUUG
rnacentral:lncRNA from 1 species